AUUGAACGCUGGCGGCAUGCCUUACACAUGCAAGUCGAACGGCAGCAUGAUCUAGCUUGCUAGAUUGAUGGCGAGUGGCGAACGGGUGAGUAAUACAUCGGAACGUGCCCUGUAGUGGGGGAUAACUAGUCGAAAGAUUAGCUAAUACCGCAUACGACCUGGGGGUGAAAGUGGGGGACCGCAAGGCCUCAUGCUAUAGGAGCGGCCGAUGUCUGAUUAGCUAGUUGGUGAGGUAAAGGCUCACCAAGGCGACGAUCAGUAGCUGGUCUGAGAGGACGAUCAGCCACACUGGGACUGAGACACGGCCCAGACUCCUACGGGAGGCAGCAGUGGGGAAUUUUGGACAAUGGGCGAAAGCCUGAUCCAGCAAUGCCGCGUGUGUGAAGAAGGCCUUCGGGUUGUAAAGCACUUUUGUCCGGAAAGAAAUGGCUCUGGUUAAUACCUGGGGUCGAUGACGGUACCGGAAGAAUAAGGACCGGCUAACUACGUG
rnacentral:rRNA from 1 species